rnacentral:rRNA from 1 species
UACGUAGGGGGCAAGCGUUGUCCGGAGUACUGGGCGUGAAGCGCACGCAGGCGGUCUUUUAAGUUUGGAGUGACAGUUGGGUGGCUUAACUGCCAAAGUGCUUCGAAAACUAGAAAGACUUGAGGGGCUUCAGAGGGGACACGGAAUCCGGGGUGGAGUGGUGGAAAUGCGUAGAGAUCCGGAGGAACACCAAAGGCGGAAGGCAGUGUCCUGGGGAGUACCUGACGCGUCGAGGUGCGAAAGCCAGGGGAGCGAACGGG